GACGAACGCUGGCGGCGUGCUUAACACAUGCAAGUCGAACGGAAAGGCCUCUUUCGGGGGGUACUCGAGUGGCGAACGGGUGAGUAACACGUGAGUAGCCUGCCCUUGACUGUGGGAUAACUUCAGGAAACUGGGGCUAAUACCGGAUAGGAGCUCCUGCUGCAUGGUGGGGGUUGGAAAGUUUCGGCGGUUGGGGAUGGACUCGCGGCUUAUCAGCUUGUUGGUGGGGUAGUGGCUUACCAAGGCUUUGACGGGUAGCCGGCCUGAGAGGGUGACCGGCCACAUUGGGACUGAGAUACGGCCCAGACUCCUACGGGAGGCAGCAGUGGGGAAUAUUGCACAAUGGGUGGAAGCCUGAUGCAGCAACGCCGUGUGCGGGAUGACGGACUUCGGGUUGUAAACCGCUUUCGCUCAUGACGAAGCUUUGUGUGACGGUAGUGGGUAAAGAAGCACCGGCUAACUACGUG
rnacentral:rRNA from 1 species